GACGAACGCUGGCGGCGUGCCUAAUACAUGCAAGUCGAGCGAAGUUUUUCUGGUGCUUGCACUAGAAAAACUUAGCGGCGAACGGGUGAGUAACACGUAAAGAACCUGCCUCAUAGACUGGGACAACUAUUGGAAACGAUAGCUAAUACCGGAUAACAGUAUUUCUCGCAUGAUAGAUAUUUAAAAGUUGGUUAUGCUAACACUAUGAGAUGGCUUUGCGGUGCAUUAGCUAGUUGGUGGGGUAAAGGCCCACCAAGGCGACGAUGCAUAGCCGACCUGAGAGGGUGAUCGGCCACACUGGGACUGAGACACGUCCCAGACUCCUACGGGAGGCAGCAGUAGGGAAUCUUCCGCAAUGGGCGAAAGCCUGACGGAGCAACGCCGCGUGAGUGAAGAAGGAUUUCGGUUCGUAAAGCUCUGUUGUUAGGGAAGAAUGGAUAUGUAGUAACUAUACAUGUAAGAGACGGUACCUAACCAGAAAGCCACGGCUAACUACGUG
rnacentral:rRNA from 1 species